GACGAACGCUGGCGGCGUGCUUAACACAUGCAAGUCGAACGGAAAGGCCCUGCUUUUGUGGGGUGCUCGAGUGGCGAACGGGUGAGUAACACGUGAGUAACCUGCCCUUGACUUUGGGAUAACUUCAGGAAACUGGGGCUAAUACCGGAUAGGAGCUCCUGCUGCAUGGUGGGGGUUGGAAAGUUUCGGCGGUUGGGGAUGGACUCGCGGCUUAUCAGCUUGUUGGUGGGGUAGUGGCUUACCAAGGCUUUGACGGGUAGCCGGCCUGAGAGGGUGGCCGGCCACAUUGGGACUGAGAUACGGCCCAGACUCCUACGGGAGGCAGCAGUGGGGAAUAUUGCACAAUGAGCGGAAGCCUGAUGCAGCAACGCCGCGUGCGGGAUGACGGCCUUCGGGUUGUAAACCGCUUUCGCCUGUGACGAAGCGUGAGUGACGGUAAUGGGUAAAGAAGCACCGGCUAACUACGUG
rnacentral:rRNA from 1 species